rnacentral:rRNA from 1 species
GAUGAACGCUGGCGGCGUGCCUAAUACAUGCAAGUAGAACGCUGAAGGAGGAGCUUGCUCUUCUGGAUGAGUUGCGAACGGGUGAGUAACGCGUAGGUAACCUGCCUGGUAGCGGGGGAUAACUAUUGGAAACGAUAGCUAAUACCGCAUGACAACAGUUAUUGCAUGAUAACUGUUUAAAAGGGGCAGCUGCUCCACUACCAGAUGGACCUGCGUUGUAUUAGCUAGUUGGUGAGGUAACGGCUCACCAAGGCGACGAUACAUAGCCGACCUGAGAGGGUGAUCGGCCACACUGGGACUGAGACACGGCCCAGACUCCUACGGGAGGCAGCAGUAGGGAAUCUUCGGCAAUGGACGGAAGUCUGACCGAGCAACGCCGCGUGAGUGAAGAAGGUUUUCGGAUCGUAAAGCUCUGUUGUAAGAGAAGAACGAGUGUGAGAGUGGAAAGUUCACACUGUGACGGUAUCUUACCAGAAAGGGACGGCUAACUACGU